rnacentral:rRNA from 1 species
AACUAUACCGUGAACUGCGAAUGGCUCAUUAAAUCAGUUAUCGUUUAUUUGAUAGUACCUACUUACUUGGAUAACCGUGGUAAUUCUAGAGCUAAUACAUGCUAAAAACCUCGACUUCGGAAGGGGUGUAUUUAUUAGAUAAAAAACCAAUGCCCUCCGGGGCUCCCUGGUGAUUCAUAAUAACUAAACGAAUCGCAUGGCCUUGCGCCGGCGAUGGUUCAUUCAAAUUUCUGCCCUAUCAACUUUCGAUGGUAGGAUAGUGGCCUACCAUGGUGGCAACGGGUAACGGGGAAUUAGGGUUCUAUUCCGGAGAGGGAGCCUGAGAAACGGCUACCACAUCCAAGGAAGGCAGCAGGCGCGCAAAUUACCCAAUCCCGACACGGGGAGGUAGUGACAAUAAAUACUGAUGUGGAGCUCUUUAGGGUUUCACAAUUGGAAUGAGAAAAAUCUAAACCACUUAAACGAGGAACAAUUGGAGGGCAAGUCUGGUGCCAGCAGCCGCGGUAAUUCCAGCUCCAAUAGCGUAUAUUAAAGUUGUUGCAGUUAAAAAGCUCGUAGUUGAACCUUGGGCCUGGCCGGCCGGUCCGCCUCACCGCGUGCACUGGUUCGGCUGGGCCUUUCCUCCUGGGGAACCGCAUGCCCUUCACUGGGUGUGCCGGGGAAUCAGGACUUUUACUUUGAAAAAAUUAGAGUGUUCAAAGCAGGCAUUUGCUCGAAUACAUUAGCAUGGAAUAAUAGAAUAGGACGUUGUGGUUCUAUUUUGUUGGUUUCUAGGACCGCCGUAU